UACGUAGGGUGCUAGCGUUGUUCGGAAUCAUUGGGCGUAAAGCGCGUGUAGGUGGUCAGUAAAGUUGGGUGUGAAAUCCCUCGGCUCAACCGAGGAAGUGCACUCAAAACUCACUGGCUUGAGAGUGGUAGAGGAAGGUGGAAUUCCUAGUGUAGAGGUGAAAUUCGUAGAUAUUAGGAGGAAUACCGGAGGCGAAGGCGGCCUUCUGGACCAUUUCUGACACUGAGACGCGAAAGCGUGGGUAGCAAACAGG
rnacentral:rRNA from 2 species